AUCUGCAAGUAAUAUUUUGUCAGCCCUUAGAUUAGAAGGUAAUGUUAGUUUGCACUGGAGGUGAACAUCUGAAAGUAAUAUUUUGUCAGCCCUUAGAAGGUAAUGUUAGUUGCACUGGAGGUGAACAUCUGCAAGUAAUAUUUUGUCAGCCCUUAGAAGGUAAUGCUAGUUGCACUGGAGGUGAACAUCUGCAUGUAAUAUUUUGUCAGCCCUUAGAAGGUAAUGCUAGUUACACUGGAGGUGAACAUCUGCAUGUAAUAUUUUGUCAGCCCUUAGAAGAUAAUGCUAGUUGCACUGGAGGUGAACAUCUGCAUGUAAUAUUUUGUCAGCCCUUAGAAGAUAAUGCUAGUUGCACUGGAGGUGAACAUCUGCAAGUAAUAUUUUGUCAGCCCUUAGAAGGUAAUGUUAGUUGCACUGGAGGUGAACAUCUGCAAAUAAUAUUUUGUCAGCCCUUAGAAGAUAAUGCUAGUUGUACUGGAGGUGAACAUCUGCAAGUAAUAUUUUGUCAGCCCUUAGAAGGUAAUGCUAGUUGGACUGGAGGUGAACAUCUGCAAGUAAUAUUUCGUCAGCCCUUAGAAGAUAAUGCUAGUUGUACUGGAGGUGAACAUCUGCAAGUAAUUUUCAAGUAGUGGACAAAAAUACUUUUAUAUCGACAACUAUUUCAGGAAAAAAAUCCCCUGGAUCUUGAAAGUAGCACUGCCAAAACCACAGGGAGUGCUGAUAUAGAACUAGACCCUGAUCCUGCAGAAGGGCGCCUGCAGUGUGUAGUGACAGCACAAGGUUCAGAGAGGUACUCUGAGCCCAACAAGAUCUCCUCCCCUUCAAACAGUUCAAGGUAUGAGUUUUCAAUUCCUUUUAAUCAAAUAAUAGAGAAGACUGAUAAAAUCUGGCCAUACAAACCAUGGAAAAGGCAAUAUAAUUAUGAUGCUCCUCCAUCUGAUGAGGAAGUGGAGGAAGGAUGGAAAAGGCUAAAUUGUCUUCUGCAUGGAGAGAAAAGAACAUUUAUAACAGAAAUAUCCUUAAGGGAAAUUUGGUCAUGAAAAUUAAGAUAAUCUACAAAAAAACUGUAUCAUAAAGAGACCCACGAUGAUACGCAUGAACCAACGAUGGUGACGAAUCAAGGAAACAAUACUCAGAAAUCGUUAAAAAGAGCUGACCAAUCUAAGAAUUAUUCUUAUUUCCUUGAAAGGCAGAAGGUGGAGGGAGGAGCCGUAAAGAUCAGAAAGAAAAUGGAGGUGACGGAUGAAAAUCAACUCAUAUUUAAGAUCAAGAUAAAUGCUACAAGAUGGAUUAAGGAUGGUUGCCCAGAUGAAAGUUUCCGGUAUGGGGUUAGUGCCAUUAGUGCACUGCAAUAUAGGAAGGUUACCAUUCAAGAUUUUCCUUGUUCUGGACAAUGCCAUAAAACACCCACGUACAUUAGGACUGCAUUCCUCUCUCCAAACGCCACAAAUUUGUUGCACCUACACCACCAGGGAAUCAUCAAGACUUUUGAGUUUCACUUCCUCCACUUGACUUUAGCACACCUGGUUCAGAAGACAAAUCAAGAAACACUAGUAUGCUUGAGUACUGGAAGGCCUUCACCAUUAAGGACUGCUAUUUUGUGGGAAAAGAUUCCUCUGAGGUGCUUGAGCGUGCAGUGUGGCAGAAACUAUGUCCCCAGUUUGUGCACGAUUUCACCGGCUUCAGCAUCGAGGAGAAUGUGUCAUCGGCAAGCAAUCAAGGAAAGUCCGGCGAAGGUCAGAGAAAAGCAGGCUUCACUGACUUUCAGGGUGAGGUCUUUGAUGAACUCCCGAUAUCUCACCGUGAGGAGCUGUUUAAUGGAGACCUAAUGGAAUAGAAUAGUGAAAGGAAAUGAGGCAAAUGACAAAGCUGCAGCAUUUCUUUUAUGCGAGUAAACCGAAAUAAAAGGGAAACACUGUAAGUAAGUGGACUGCAGGUGGAAUAGGGUUUGUUUUAGGGUUUCACUGUAUAUAUAUAUAUUAUUUUUUCAGUGUUUUUGUACUGUAUUCUUGUAUACAGUAAAAUUUAAUUGUAUUACUUAAUAUUAACUAUAAUAUAAUCUCAAAAUAAAUGUUAUCAAAUGAUG